CAACAACUGAAAGGAGGUGACCAGUGUCUCAUUGUCUCCAACCGAGGUCGCAAGUCGUGACCUGGAGCCCGAAGAUCGAGGUCUCCAACUGACGGCGUUGAACGCCUAAGGUUUGAAGUCACGCCGCGACGCGGCUACGGCGAUGGAGGGUCGUCCCGAGCAAUCGGGGCGGCCC
rnacentral:sRNA from 1 species